AGCAGUCGCCGCGGUAAUACGUAGGGUGCAAGCGUUAAUCGGAAUUACUGGGCGUAAAGCGUGCGCAGGCGGUUUGUUAAGACAGAUGCGAAAUCCCCGGGCUUAACCUGGGAACUGCAUUUGUGACUGGCAAGCUAGAGUCUGGCAGAGGGGGGUGGAAUUCCGCGUGUAGCAGUGAAAUGCGUAGAUAUGCGGAGGAACACCGAUGGCGAAGGCAGCCCCCUGGGCCAACACUGACGCUCAUGCACGAAAGCGUGGGGAGCAAACAGGAUUAGAUACCCGCGUAGUCCCUGUCUCUUAUAC
rnacentral:rRNA from 1 species